rnacentral:rRNA from 1 species
UACGUAGGUGGCAAGCGUUGUCCGGAUUUACUGGGCGUAAAGAGCGCGCAGGCGGUCGGAUAAGUCGAAUGUGAAAGCUCCCGGCUCAACUGGGAGAGGUCCUUGCAUACUGGCGAACUCGAGGGAGGCAGAGGAAAGUGGAAUUCCCGGUGUAGUGGUGAUAUGCGUAGAUAUCGGGAGGAACACCUGUGGCGAAGGCGGCUUUCUGGGCCUUACCUGACGCUGAGACGCGAAAGCGUGGGGAGCGAACCGG